rnacentral:rRNA from 1 species
GAUGAACGCUGGCGGCGUGCCUAAUACAUGCAAGUCGAGCGAACAGACGAGGAGCUUGCUCCUCUGACGUUAGCGGCGGACGGGUGAGUAAGACGUGGAUAACCUACCUAUAAGACUGGGAUAACUUCGGGAAACCGGAGCUAAUACCGGAUAAUAUAUUGAACGGCAUGGUUCAAUAGUGAAAGGCGGUUUGGCUGUCACUUAGAGAUGGAUCCGCGUCGCAUUAGCUAGUUGGUAAGGUAACGGCCUACCAAGGCGACGAUGCGUAGCCGACCUGAGAGUAUGAGCAGCCACACGGUAACCGAGACACGGGCCAGACUCCUACGGGAGGCAGCAGUGGGGAAUAUUGGACAAUGGGCGCAAGCCUGAUCCAGCCAUACCGCGUGAGUGAAGAAGGUCUUCGGGUUGUAAAGCCCUUUUGUUGGGAAAGAAAAGCAGCAGGUGAAUACCCCGCUGUCCUGACGGUACCCAAAGGAUAAGCACCGGCUAACUUCGUG